UCCCAGAGGAAUACGCCACGCAUGGA
rnacentral:piRNA from 1 species